UUAACUAAACAUACAAAAGAAAAAUCAGAAGAGUUUUGAGAGAGAGAGACCGAAAGAGUCUGAACCCUAAAAUAUCGAUUCCAGCCACUGCCAUUCAUCUCCUCGCCGUCGUUGCCGCCAUGUCUCCUCCAUCAAAGCUUCGCCGGUGGAGUUAUGAGGACGAGGUGAUCAUGGAGCUUCUCAAUUUGUGGAGCUCUCGCCUCUCGCGAUAAUAAUGCUUUAGAUCUUUCGCUUCUACGUCGUCUUUCACGGCGGGUGCUACCGCUGAUUCUGCUUAUGCUCCAGCGGCUUGAAGCACUCAGAGAGCGGUUUGGGCACGGAGUCGGUGACGCUGGUUGAGUAGAUCCGUAAGGCGAGCGAGCGAAAGACUUUGGAAGCUUCGAUUGAAACUGCGAUAGUGCGAUCGAAGCUAUCAAAUCUUGUGGAACUAAUUCUCAUGUCGUUCUGAGUCAUUGAGGUUGGAGGAGUUUGCUUGCUGUUGGUCCAACUCUUCUCAAGGACUAAUCUCUGUUGAAGCUUUAUCGCUUGAUCAACUUGUAGGUUAUGCUUGCUACUGUCCGAUGUGAAGAAAUUGCCCGGGAGAAGUAUAAAGCUGCAAAGGAGGAAUUGCAUCAACUGGAAGAGGAUAUGAAACGUAGCCCUACUGAAUAUUUGAACAGGCUCAGUUCACAAAUUGAUACUUGUUUGUCAGAGUGAGUAUAAUUGACUUUUCAUGACAUCAUAACAUUGAAUUCUUUGUUCAUAUUAGACUGCUAGUAGUAGCAAUGGUUUUGAUUGUUCUAUGUAUUGGAA